AGCCCAGGCUCCUGUCUCAUUUUGAAGGCCCCAUCAGCCCUCAAAAUAUCACAAUCCUUAGCAACAAUCUAUAAACAUUUGUCCUUCUACCCACAGAUAAAUGUAGUCUUGACCCUUCAUCAAGAAAAUGUCCUUUGUAAAAGAUGGAGACCACUAGAGAAAUCUACAACCAAUCAAAAUACAGAAUGAUGGAACCUGGUCCCAGUGGAUACAUCUACAGAACACUCCUGUGCCUAAGGCUCAAGGAACUUUGCAGAAGAGGGGCAGAAAGAUUGGAAGAGAUGGAGGAUCAGGGAGUUUGCCGUGAGACUGUCUGCUAGUAACAUCAGAAGACAAACCUAUGAAGUCUCACCAACAUUACUGCCCAAAUGUGUACCAAGUAAGGAUGGCACUAAUGGACAUGCCAAUCGGACACACAGAACUGAGGAAAGCUGAGGGAAGCCCCCCAGUACCAAAUGGUCAGCCCUGCAAACAUAGAUGGACCAUCAAGCCCUGACAAGAAGCCAGCAGAGUCUGCACCCACGCUCUUGACCCUCCCCUACCUUCAGAACCUUAGUGUAAAUAAGCCAUGUCUACAAACUGUCUCAGGUAGUCUGUUAUAACUGCAAAGCUGACCAAGACAAGAUCGAAUGGACCAUAGCCGGACUAUGCUUUUAAGCCCUUCCCUGUCUUGGAUUACAGAUUGCUGGGCUGUUAGGCAGCUGGAUGUAUGCAAAGUUGAGGUCAGCAGUGCCUCUGUGAGUGUGUGCAUACUUCCAAGCUGCUUUGGGCAUUGCUUGCUUUUGUUUCCAGUGAGUGAGGAGCAGUAAGAGUUGGUGUGGGGAAGCCCAGAUAUUUUUGUUCAAAGUCUGUUCGGAAGAAGCCUGACCCACACGGGGAUGGAGGACAGCUGAAGACUGACUAGGCCCUGGGAUGUGGUCUUAGGUGAUCAGAACUCAGCAGUUCCUCCAAUUGCCUAGCACCGUUAUGGUCAGCAGUGGGGGCUACAAAGUCUGUUGGGAGAGCUUGGCUCCUGCCCAGAUCAGGUGUGAGCCACUGGCUGCCACCCCCAGACUCUCCCCACCGUGGUCUGCAGUUCUCUCACCCUGGUCACUUGCUUCUCAUGAUUUUUCUGGCAGCAGAAGCUCUUUACUCCCAGGGUGAAGACAGGAUGAACUUUGAGGCAGCGUGACCUCUUGCAGGCCUUGGGGAACUAUUGGCCACCUCGGGGCCUUCUGAGCCACCCGUGACUUCCCAGCAACAUGUUGCCUUACAGUAUGCUGCCCACUCAUGCCCACUCCUGCCCACUCAUGCCCACUCAUGCCCUGCUUUGGCUCUUUUUCUCCCCCAUGGCCUGAGCCAUGCUCCCUAAUUUCCCAUGCUGUAUUUGGCAGCUUUUAUGGGUCCCUCCUGCUAUAGGCUCCUCACCGGUGACCCUAGAGGCUGAACUAUACUGCAGCAAACCCAUUUUUAUGGAUUCCUUUCCCUAGGCCAAUUUCCUUUUCUAGGCGGGUGCUCAUUUCUUUCUGUCCUCACACUCCAGAUCUCAGCGAAGCUGUUGCCUAGAAUCACCCUGUGUGAAGUCCCACGGCCUUAGCACAGGCCACAGCCAUGAAAAAUGGUUAAUGUUCCCAUAGAUGACUCUGCUGUGCAGCUACGGCCCAGAGCUCUGGGCUGAAGAUCAGCUCCGUGAGGCCAGAUCCUCUUCUAUAUUGUUCCUCUGUGUCUGACAACGAAAGAGCAGGUGCUCUGCUAAGAGCUGUAUGGGAAUAAGCCACGUAGCCAAACACACCCUCUUUAAAGUCUUCCACAUAGGG